CCAAAAAAAAAAAAAAAAGAUGUUGCUGAAAUGUUUUAAUCUUUGCCAAUUACUGAAAUAGUGAUUAUUUGCUCAAUAAAACUAUGUUUUAUCUGUUCUCUUCUAGACUAUAAUUUCAUGUGUGUGAAAUUCAAGGGGAAAAAGGAAACAAUACAUAAUCCAGUCUGUAGCUUCUCAUGGAUCGUGCAAAGCACCACCAGGACAGACAUCUCAAGCACAUUUGAAGAGCUCCUGUUUCCUAAGUAAGACAGCAGCAGCAAGACUGCAAUCAUUUCUGGGAAGGCAGUAUCAUCAUAAUGCAAUAUUAGCUACUGUGAUCUUCUAUCAUUUCCUUCCUGGAGAGUUAUGACUGUGGCAUUGAAGAUUUAAGACCUACAGCCUCAACACUACUUACUACAAAUCUCUCACAAAGCUGCUGCAAUAAAUCUCGUGGAGGAAAGUCAUUGCAUAAAAAAAUCCUCAACUCCAGGGAGUUGGCCAUUUAUUUUCCUAGAAAAGGGGCUGUGAUGAGAGACACUCCAUGCUCCUUUAACUCCAUGGAACAGAACCCAACAAAACAUUCAUCAUGGAAAGUUGACUGAUGGGCCCAGUGAGACUAGCUGGGGAAGGAAGAUGGAAAGAGAAGUGCCCCAUCCAAGGCCUGCUCCUUUUCCUAGCUGCAGCCCGGAGGGAUUUCCUCUUAGCUUGAGGAUUGACUUUCCAUAGAAUCAGCACCACUGAGGGUAAGCUUCCCUGAAGACAAACUCUGUCAUUGGAGAGCUCAGCCAGGGGUCUAAAACUGGACCCUAUGGACUCCACAGAUUUAUUUAGUCUGCACAGUGUUUAAAAAUGUUUUUAGUUAGGGCCAGGCAUGGUGGCUCCCACCUGUAAUCCCAGCACUUUGAGAGGCCGAGGUGGGUGGAUCACCUAAGGUCAGGAGUUUGAGACCAGCCUGCCUGACAUGGCAAAACCCAGUCUCUACUAAAAAUACAAAAAUUAGCUGGGCAUGGUUGCUCAGGCCUGUAAUCUCAGAUACUUGGGAGGCUGAGGCACAAGAAUCACUUGAACCUGGGAGGCGGAGGUUGCAGUGAGCCAAGAUCGCACCAUUGCACUCCAGCUUGGGUGACAAGAGUGAAACUCCAUCUCAAAAAAAAAAAAAAAAGUUUCUAGUUAGUUCCCAACAUAAAAAAUUAACAAUUUUGCAAAGAAAGAUAAAAUCCAGAUUUUGGGCUCCCCUAAACAAAUUGGGAUAUCUGAAAACAGUGGGCCACAUUCCUACAUUCCUGCCCCUGUUGACAGUAUGCGCCUGCUCUAAUUUUACUUCCCCUUUUACCCUAACUGCCCUGUAGGGAAUGGAGUUUGCAAUCCCCAUACUAAUCCAUCACCCUGCAGGUCCAUUCCCCUCCUCCCUGACCUCUGUUCUGAUAAGGGGUGAGAGAAUGAACCCCCAUAUGUAUUGAAUGGAAAAUACAUGUAUUGGCCAGGCACAGCGGCUCACACUUGUAAUCCCAGCACUUUGGGAGGCCAAGAUGGGCAGAUCACCUGAGGUCAGGAGUUCAAGACCAGCCUGGCCAAUAUGGCGAAACCGUGUUUCUACUAAAAAUAAUUUAAAAACAAAAUUAGCCAGACAUGAUGGCAGGCGCCUAUAAUCCCAACUACUCAGGAGGCUGGGGCAGGAGAAUCGUUUGAACCCAGGAGGCGGAGGCUGCAGUGAGCCAAGAUCGCACCAUGGCACACCAGCCUGGGCAACAAGACUGAAACUCCAUCUCAAAAAAAAUAAAAAUAAAAAUACAUGUAUUGAUGAGAAAAUACAACUGACUAAUCCCACCUAAACCAUGACCUCAUAUAAAUUCAGAAGAUCUUUCUAACAUGGCAGGGAGGCAGCCUAGUAUAAAGCAAAGAGCACAUGCUUUGCGAAUGUAAACCAAAAAUAAAAGUUGAAGGCCCUCCUCACCAUAUGAAUGGUCUCCUUCCUUUGCCAGGGCACCCUAAAAUUUAACUGGUUGAGGCCAUGAUGGGUAGUAGGGGUUGGACAUGCCUCAUUAUACCCUUCCAGCAGUAACAUCAACACAGACUUUAAGUCUGAUAAGAAACAUUUACAGUCUAUUUUCUCUAAAGCCUGCUACUUGGAGAUAUAAAACCUAGGUCUCCACAACCCCUAUUGUAACCCAGCCAUUUCUUUCUAAUGAUAAUAAGUCUUUCAACCAAUUGCCAAUCAGAAUAUGUUUAAAUCUUCCUAUGACCUAGAAGCACCCCACUCUUUGAGUUGUCCCACCCUUCCAGAUUGAACCAAUGUAAAUGGUUCAAUUGAUUGAUGUGUUAUAUCUCCCUAAAGUGUAUAAAAGGAAGCUGUACCUCAACCAUCUUGGGCACGCGUCUUCAGGAACUCCUGAGUCUGUGUCACAGGUGUGUCCUUAACCUUGGCAAAGUAAACUUUCCAUUACUUAUAAUGGCAAAAACUGCAAUUACUUUUGCACCAACCUAAUAAAUGGAUUGAGACUUGCCUCAGAUACUUAUUGGUUUAUACCUAGAGGCAGACCUUGGCUCAAAUCCCAUCUCUCCCUUACUCUGGGAUAUUGUCCAACUUGCUCAGCCUCUUGAAACCUACUUUGCUUACAGCAAAAUGGGUAUAAGGGGAUCUUUCACCCAAGCCUUUUGUGAGGACUAAAUGUGGUAAUGGACAUUAAGUGCCAGACCCCUUGAAUGUGCCAUCUUCUCUCAGCUUCUAUAAUGUCAUGCUGUCAGUUCCCUCCUUUUCUUUUUUUCUUUUCUUUUCUUUUUUUUUUUUUUUUUUGAGACGGAGUCUUGCUCUGUCCCCCAGGCUGGAGUGCAGUGGCACGAUCUCGGCUCACUGCAAGCUCCGCCUCCCGGGUUCACGCCAUUCUCCUGCCUCAGCCUUCCGAGUAGCUGGGACUACAGGCGUCCGUCACCGCGCCUGGCUAAUUGUUUUUGUAUUUUUCUUAGAGACUGGGUUUCACAGUGGUCUCGAUCUCCUGACCUCGUGGUCCGCCCGCCUCGGCCUCCCAAAGUGCUGGGAUUACAGGUGUGAGCCACCGCGCCCAGCCUAGUUCCCUCCUUUUCAUGGCUUCUUUGCUUCAUCUUUUCUGUCUCCUUUGAAGGUAUGCCUUCCUGGAAUAUACCAUAAAUGUCAGUGUUCCUCAGGAUUCUAUCUUGACCUGACUCCCCCGACCCAACUGCUAGCUUUUCCCUCUGUCUAAUGCUGGUACAGAUACAUAAACUGAUAGGUAGAUUACAACACAAUUCGAUUUUCUGUUUUGCUUUUUUUUUUGGCUUAUUAUUACAUAAACUUUUUUUCAUUGCUGCCAUACAUUCUUCAAAAUAAACACUUCGGGGGGCGAGCUGGCCCAGCACUUUGGGAGGCCAAGGAGGUGGAUCACUUCAGGUCAGGAGUUCGAGACCAGCCUGACCAACAUGGUGAAACCCCCAUCUCUACUAAAAAUACAAAAAUUAGCCGGGUGUUGGUGCAAGCACCUGUAAUCUCAACUGCUCGGGAGGCUGAGGCAUGAAAAUCACUUGAACCCGCGAGGCAGAGGUUGCAGUGAGCCAAUAUAGUACCACUGUACUCCAGCCUGGGCAACAGAGCUGCGAGACCUUGUCUCAAACAAAACAAAACAAAACAAAAUAAACACUUCAUGGCUGAACAAUAUGCCAUUUCCUGAAUAGAUUGUAAUUUACCUAAUCAUUUCUCUAAUAGUGGACACUUAGGUUGUUCUAAUUUUGAAAGGCAGGAAUACCAAGAAUGUUUUCUUGCACAUGGCAGAUUAUUUCUCAGUAUAGGCUCAUCCUUUCGAGUAUAUGGCAUCUUUUCUUCUUUCCCUCCUCUCUCUCCUCAGAAGUACUCAAGGCCCCGGAGAUACUUUGGCUGUAUCCCCACCAAUCUCAUCUUGAAUUGUAGCUCCCAUGAUUCCCAUGUAUCCUGAGAGGGACCCAGUGGGAGGUAAUUGAAUCAUGGGGGCAGGUCUUUCCCGUGCUGUUCUAGAGAUAGUGAAUGAGUCUCACAAGAUCUGAUGGUUUUAUAAAGGGCGGUUCCCCUACACAAGUUCUCUCUUGCCUGCCACUUUGCUCCUCAUUUGCUCUCUGCCAUGACUGUGAGCCCUCCCCAGCCAUAUGCAACUGUGAGUCAAUUAAACCUCUUUUCUUAAUAAAUUACCCAGUCUCUGGUAUGUCUGUAUUAGCAGUGUGAGACAGACUAAUACAGCCCUUAUGUGUCCAGAAGUACUGACUUUCUUGGAUGAUACCUUAAGUAAAGCCUAAUAAAGCUUUAGUGACUGAUACAUUUUUAAAAAUGAAGUAAUUAUUUAUGUGUAAUGAGACAAAUUAUUUAUUUCAGAGUGUUAUUUGCCUUACUCUCUUCCCCCAGCAAAAGGAGUCCUCAAGUGGCCAGCCACAUUUUCUCAUUUCUCCUUUCUUCAAAAACUGAUGGGAUCUUGCUUGAUGAAGUCACAUAACAAGUGAAUACAGCAAAGAGAGAGGGAAGGGGGAGGAAAUAGCCGUUGGGAAUGGAGUGUUGUUGGAUGAGCUUUGUGAAGUGUGGGAAGAGAAAGAUACUAGAGGAGACCGAGACAAAUGGAUAGGUGAAGAAACAGAAUUUUAGUAAGUGGUGCUGUAUGCUAUAUAUGUGGAUUUGCCUCAAAGUUUUAAAAAAUGGCAAGCAGAAAUGGAAUUCUUUUUUAAUAAUCACCUUUGGUUAUUGUAUAAUGUUAUUUGAUUAUAAUAUAGUUUUGAGAUUGAUCGACA
rnacentral:lncRNA from 1 species